CGUGUAGGUGGUGGAUUAAGUCGAAUGUGAAAUCCCUUGGCUCAACCAAGGAACUGCACUCGAUACUGAUCUGCUUGAGUGAUAGAGAGGUAAGCGGAAUUCCCGGUGUAACAGUGAAAUGUGUAGAUAUCGGGAGGAACACCAGUGGCGAAGGCGGCUUACUGGCUAUCUACUGACACUGAAACGCGAAAGCUAGGGGAGCAAACAGGAUUAGAUACCCUGGUAGUCC
rnacentral:rRNA from 1 species